AGAAGGCAAAAGUAGUGAUGACAACAGUCUGAAUGACAGAUAUUCAUCAUUAUGUACUUGGGCAUUUGUUUAGAUGAAAGGCAUAAAAGAGAAAGGCACAGAAGAAAAUGGGAAGAAGAAGAAACUUCAGAGCUAGAUGUUGCUAAAAGGUACAACAAGAAAAAGUGUACAGAUAACGUGUGCCAAUCUCCAUCAAUGUAGGGACCUGAAAAUACCAAGUCAG
rnacentral:lncRNA from 1 species